UGCAAUGAAAAAUUACGUAUUACCUCGAAACAUCCACCGCGUCGAACAAAUGGCAUGGAGCACGUCGUUAUUACGACAAGAAGAACGAUAAGGAUGACUCCAUUGAUAGCCGAAUGAAUAUUACAGUUGACUAAAGAAUAAUUUGUGAAAAAGCAUUCUUCUUGGGAAAUUCGACGGAACUUUACGCGCGACCCGAUAUACUGUACUUGUUCUAGAAAGAGAAGCUUAGGCUUAACUUUAUUUUCGCUACCCCCAAUUGUAUCGUAUCGUGGUAUAAAUAAUGGUAUCGUACCAAAAUUAAGAAGGUGCAUAACCGUGUGCACUACGCUGAGGAUACCGAUUAGAGCUCCAGUCACUUUGUGAAGAUAGAUAUGUUGAUCUAACGGCAGUAGAGAAUUAAAGCGAUGAGUUCGUAGGAAGGUAAUGGACUGACGCAACAUAAGAACCAGGAUGAAACUGCAGUUGAAGUUUAAACACUGACCUGUAUUAAAAAUUACGUUUAUGAAAA